GAUGAACGCUGGCGGCGUGCCUAAUACAUGCAAGUAGAACGCUGAAGCUUGGUGCUUGCACCGAGCGGAUGAGUUGCGAACGGGUGAGUAACGCGUAGGUAACCUGCCUCUUAGCGGGGGAUAACUAUUGGAAACGAUAGCUAAUACCGCAUAAAAGACGAUAUCGCAUGAUAUUGAUUUGAAAGGUGCAAUUGCAUCACUAAGAGAUGGACCUGCGUUGUAUUAGCUAGUUGGUGAGGUAACGGCUCACCAAGGCGACGAUACAUAGCCGACCUGAGAGGGUGAUCGGCCACACUGGGACUGAGACACGGCCCAGACUCCUACGGGAGGCAGCAGUAGGGAAUCUUCGGCAAUGGGGGCAACCCUGACCGAGCAACGCCGCGUGAGUGAAGAAGGUUUUCGGAUCGUAAAGCUCUGUUGUAAGAGAAGAACGAGUGUGAGAGUGGAAAGUUCACACUGUGACGGUAA
rnacentral:rRNA from 1 species